rnacentral:rRNA from 1 species
UACGUAGGGGGCUAGCGUUGUUCGGAUUCAUUGGGCGUAAAGGGUGCGUAGGCGGCGCGGUAAGUCGGGUGUGAAAUCUCGGAGCUUAACUCCGAAACUGCAUUCGAUACUGCCGUGCUUGAGGACUGGAGAGGAGACUGGAAUUUACGGUGUAGCGGUGAAAUGCGUAGAUAUCGUAAAGGAAGACCAGUGGCGAAGGCGGGUCUCUGGGCCGAUACUGACGCUGAGGAGCGAAAGCGUGGGAGCGAACAGG